GCCAAAAAUUUAACAUUAAUCUCCUGAUUCCAGUUGCAGAGGGCAUGAAUGAAAUCUGGCUUCAUUUUGACAAUGGAAAACAGUAUGCACACUGGAUGGCAGCCUGCAGAUUAGCCUCCAAAGGCAAGACCAUGGCGGACAGUUCUUACAACUUAGAAAUUCAGAACAUUCUUUCCUUUCUGAAGAUGCAGCAUUUAAACCCAGAUCCUCAGUGAAUACCAGAGCAGAUCAUGACCAAUACCAAUCCUUAAUGUUUGGUGUCUCCUCACUAUCUAAAAAAGUAUAAGAACAAGCAGCCAGGCUAUAUAAGAGGUUUGAUAACAGCAAGAAUCUUGGAGUCCCAUCAGAAUGUAGCUCAGAUGAGUCUAAUUGAGGCCAAGAUGAGAUUUAUUCAAGCUUGGCAGUCAUUAUCUGAAUUUGGCAUCACACACUUCAUUGCAAGGUUCCAAGGGGGCAAAAAAGAAGAACUUAUUAGAAUUGCAUACAACAGACUGAUUAGGAUGGGUGCCAGCACUGGAGAUGCAAUUAAAACAUGGCAUUUCAGCAACAUGAAACAGUGGAAUGUAAACUGGGAAAUCAAAAUGGUCACCAUAGAGUUUGCAGAUGAAGUACGAUUGUCCUUCAUUUGUACUGAAGUAGAUUGCAAAGUGGUUCAUGAACUCAUUGGUGGCUACAUAUUUUUCUCAACACAUGCAAAAGACCAAAAUGAGAGUUUAGAUGAAGAGAUGUUCUACAAACUUACCAGUGGUUGGGUGUGAAUAGAAAUACUGUGUAAUGAAACUCCACAGCCAUAACAAUAUUUAACUUUAAAAGCUGUUCAUUAUAUGCUGCUUAAUUAAAGUAAGCUUAAAAU